rnacentral:rRNA from 1 species
UACGUACGAGGCGAGCGUUAUCCGGAAUUACUGGGCGUAAAGCGCGCGCAGGCGGACCAUUAAGUUGGGCGUGAAAUCUCCCGGCCUAACUGGGAGGGGUCGCCCAAGACUGGUGGUCUUGAGGACAGCAGAGGUGGGUGGAAUUCCUGGUGUAGUGGUGAAAUGCGUAGAGAUCGGGAGGAACACCAGUGGCGAAGGCGGCUCGCUGGGCCGGACCUGACGCUGAGACGCGAAGGCGUGGGGAGCGAACGGG